AGAACGAACGCUGGCGGCAGGCUUAACACAUGCAAGUCGAACGGGCGUAGCAAUACGUCAGUGGCAGACGGGUGAGUAACACGUGGGAACCUUCCUAGGGGUACGGAACAACUCAGGGAAACUUGAGCUAAUACCGUAUACGUCCGUGAGGAGAAAGAUUCAUCGCCCCUAGACGGGCCCGCGUCGGAUUAGGUAGUUGGUGGGGUAACGGCCUACCAAGCCUACGAUCCGUAGCUGAUCUGAGAGGAUGAUCAGCCACACUGGGACUGAGACACGGCCCAGACUCCUACGGGAGGCAGCAGUGGGGAAUCUUGGACAAUGGGCGCAAGCCUGAUCCAGCCAUGCCGCGUGAGUGAAGAAGGCCUUAGGGUUGUAAAGCUCUUUUACCAGGGACGAUAAUGACGGUACCUGGAGAAUAAGCCCCGGCAAACUUCGUGCCAGCAGCCGC
rnacentral:rRNA from 1 species